GUAACUGACCCAUCCACAUACAGGUAACUGACUCAUCUCCAUACAGGUAACUGACUCAUCCACAUACAGGUAACUGACACAUCCCCAUACAGGUAACUGACACAUCCACAUACAGGUAACUGACUCAUCCACAUACAGGUAACUGACUCAUCCACAUACAGGUAACUGACCCAUCCCCAUACAGGUAACUGACUCAUCCACAUACAGGUAACUGACUCAUCCCCAUACAGGUAACUGACCCAUCCACAUACAGGUAACUGACUCAUCCACAUACAGGUAACUGACUCAUCCACAUACAGGUAACUGACCCAUCCCCAUACAGGUAACUGACUCAUCCACAUACAGGUAACUGACUCAUCCCCAUACAGGUAACUGACCCAUCCACAUACAGGUAACUGACUCAUCUCCAAACAGGUAACUGACUCAUCCACAUACAGGUAACUGACUCAUCCCCAUACAGGUAACUGACACAUCCCCAUACAGGUAACUGACCCAUCCACAUACAGGUAACUGACACAUCCACAUACAGGUAACUGACACAUCCACAUACAGGUAACUGACACAUCCACAUACAGGUAACUGCCAUAUCCACAUACAGGUAACUGCCACAACAAUGGAAACAUAAAGUGUCUUAACAGGGCUUUGGGCCUCAUAUCUCUACAUUCUUACGUCUGGUCCCAGAUCUGUAGCAGCACAAACAGGACUGUGACAAGGCUUUGUAUAUUUGCAUGGGCAGAACAGUGUUUGUUAACAGCAGAGCAAAAGAGGAAGUUAGAGCUAGGCUUUUCUCAUGCCAGUUCAUCUCCAGUGUGUACGUAUCACAUGCCUCUCUUGGGUUGGUUAAUCAGCGGUCGUGUUGUGUUUGCUCUGUUCGGAAUACAAGCGGGGCAAGACUGAUUCGUGAUUCGUUUGGUUUGGAUAGGGAGAUCAGCAUAGACAAAUGGUUCUCUCAGAGGAGACUGUUUAUGGCAAUCAACAGAGUGCAACACACACACGUAUGUUGUGUAGAGGGAAGGAAGGAGCGAACACAUUCUCUUUCGCACGCACGCACACACACACACACACACACACACACACACACACACACACACACACACACACACACACACACACACACACACACACACACACACACACACACACACACACACACACACACACACACAUUAUUGGCCUUGAGUGGUGUUACUUCAGGGACCAACAGAUAAGACUAAGGGCAUGUUUUGGUACCAUGAAUGGUUUUAAGGAUAAACAGUUGAAUGCUGUCCAUCCCAGGGGAGCGUCAUCCUCAGUCAUGCGCCGGCCCGGUUUGUUGUUUUUAAAACAUCUCUGAGGUCAUCUGAGACAUCUGGCUUGUUUUUCCAGCAAACUACUUAGUCCUGGGGCUGUUUUUCCCAUGGUUCCCUUUCCAGGACAUGCAAACACAACAGAUAGUGUCUCCCAUUGAGGCAGUCUCACUGGACCUGCAUGGGAGACAGUGAUUUGCAUGCAUGGAGAAAAACUGUCACUUUGCAAGGCGGCCAUUUUUUAUCAGUGGCCCAGGGUUCAUGCAAAGGUAGGCUUUUUCUUAGCACACCGUUUUUGUGUUA
rnacentral:lncRNA from 1 species